GACGAACGCUGGCGGCGUGCUUAACACAUGCAAGUCGAACGAAGUGGUGAACGGGUGAGUAACGCGUAAUCAACCUGCCCUUCAGAGGGGGAUAACAGUUGGAAACGACUGCUAAUACCGCAUACUGAAGUAGGGGAUUGCGGCUGAUUAGCUAGUUGGAGGGGUAACGGCCCACCAAGGCGAUGAUCAGUAGCGGGUCUGAGAGGAGGACCGGCCACAUUGGCACUGAGACACGGCCCAGACUCCUACGGCAGGAAGCAGUGGGGAAUCUACCGAAAUGGACGAAAGUCUGACGUAGCAACGCCGCGUGAGUGAUGACGGCCUUAGGGUUGUAAAGCUCUGUUAAUCGGGACGCGGUACCGGAAUAGAAAGCCACGACUAACUACGUGCGAGCAGCCGCGCUAAUUC
rnacentral:rRNA from 1 species